UGUGAGGAAAUUCGUAGAAGAAGAACCGGCUAACUAUGACCCAGCAGCAGCGGUAAUAGUAUGGGGGCAAGCGUCAAUCGUAAUUAUUUAACGUAAAAAAGAACGCAGGCGGUUGGAGAAGUAAGAUGUGAAAGCCCCGGGCUCUACCUGGGAAUUGCAUUUAAAAAUGUCCACCUAGAGUCUCUUAGAGGGGGGUAGAAUUCCAGGUGUAGAGGUGAAAUACGUAGAGAUCUGGAGGAAUACCGGUGGGGAAGAAGGCCCCCUGGACAAAAACUGACGCUCAAGUGCGAAAACGUGGGGAGCAAACAGG
rnacentral:rRNA from 1 species